AGGACGAACGCUGGCGGCGUGCCUAACACAUGCAAGUCGAGCGGAGUCAGUAAGAGGAAGUUUCGGAUGGAAUCUGUUGAUUAGCGGCGGACGGGUGAGUAACGCGUGAGCGACCAACCUUGCACAGGGGGAUAACGGACCGAAAGGUUCACUAAUACCGCAUGAGACCACGGUGUUGCAUGACACAGAGGUCAAAGGAGCAAUCCGGUGCAAGACGGGCUCGCGUCCGAUUAGGUAGUUGGAGGGGUAACGGCCCACCAAGCCUAUGAUCGGUAGCCGACCUGAGAGGGUGAUCGGCCACAUUGGAACUGAGAUACGGUCCAAACUCCUACGGGAGGCAGCAGUGGGGAAUAUUGGGCAAUGGGGGGAAACCCUGACCCAGCAACGCCGCGUGAAGGAAGAAGGUUUUCGGAUUGUAAACUUCUGUCCUUGGUGAAGAGAAGAAGACGGUAGCCAAGGAGGAAGCCCCGGCUAACUACGUGCCAGCCGCCGC
rnacentral:rRNA from 1 species